rnacentral:rRNA from 1 species
UACGAAGGGUGCUAGCGUUGUUCGGAAUUACUGGGCGUAAAGCGCGCGUAGGCGGUAAUGCAAGUCAGAGGUGAGAUCCCGGAGCUUAACUCCGGAACUGCCUUUGAAACUGCAUUGCUGGAGUGUGUGAGGGGAUAGCGGAAUUCCUAAUGUAGAGGUGAAAUUCGUAGAUAUUAGGAGGAACACCGGUGGCGAAGGCGGCUAUCUGGCACACAACUGACGCUGAGGCGCGAAAGCGUGGGGAUCAAACAGG